rnacentral:rRNA from 1 species
GUAGGUGGCAAGCGUUGUCCGGGAAUUAUUGGGGCGUAAAGCGCGCGCAGGCGGUUCUUUAAGUCUGAUGUGAAAGCCCACGGGCUCAACCGUGGAGGGUCAUUGGAAACUGGAGAACUUGAGUACAGAAGAGGAAAGCGGAAUUCCACGUGUAGCGGUGAAAUGCGUAGAGAUGUGGAGGAACACCAGUGGCGAAGGCGGCUUUCUGGUCUGUAACUGACGCUGAGGCGCGAAAGCGUGGGGAGCAAACAGGAUUAGAUACCCUGGUAGUCCACGCCGUAAACGAUGAGUGCUAAGUGUUAGGGGGUUUCCGCCUCUUAGUGCUGCAGCUAACGCAUUAAGCACUCCGCCUGGGGAGUACGGCCGCAAAGGCUG